rnacentral:rRNA from 1 species
CACGUAGGGCGCAAGCGUUGUCCGGAAUUAUUGGGCGUAAAGAGCUCGUAGGCGGUCUGUUGCGUCCGCUGUGAAAACUCGGGGCUUAACCCCGAGCCUGCAGUGGAUACGGGCAGACUAGAGGUAGGUAGGGGAGAAUGGAAUUCCCGGUGUAGCGGUGAAAUGCGCAGAUAUCGGGAGGAACACCAGUGGCGAAGGCGGCUACCUGGCCCACUCUUGACGCUGAGGCGCGAAAGCUAGGGGAGCAAACAGG